GAUGAACGCUGGCGGCGUGCCUAAUACAUGCAAGUCGAGCGAACGGACGAGAAGCUUGCUUCUCUGAUGUUAGCGGCGGACGGGUGAGUAACACGUGGAUAACCUACCUAUAAGACUGGGAUAACUUCGGGAAACCGGAGCUAAUACCGGAUAAUAUUUUGAACCGCAUGGUUCAAAAGUGAAGGACGGUCUUGCUGUCACUUAUAGAUGGAUCCGCGCUGCAUUAGCUAGUUGGUAAGGUAACGGCUUACCAAGGCAACGAUGCAUAGCCGACCUGAGAGGGUGAUCGGCCACACUGGAACUGAGACACGGUCCAGACUCCUACGGGAGGCAGCAGUAGGGAAUCUUCCGCAAUGGGCGAAAGCCUGACGGAGCAACGCCGCGUGAGUGAUGAAGGUCUUCGGAUCGUAAAACUCUGUUAUUAGGGAAGAACAUAUGUGUAAGUAACUGUGCACAUCUUGACGGUACCUAAUCAGAAAGCCACGGCUAACUACGUGCCAGCGGCCGCGGUAAUACGUAGGUGGCAAGCGUUAUCCGGAAUUAUUGGGCGUAAAGCGCGCGUAGGCGGUUUUUUAAGUCUGAUGUGAAAGCCCACGGCUCAACCGUGGAGGGUCAUUGGAAACUGGAAAACUUGAGUGCAGAAGAGGAAAGUGGAAUUCCAUGUGUAGCGGUGAAAUGCGCAGAGAUAUGGAGGAACACCAGUGGCGAAGGCGACUUUCUGGUCUGUAACUGACGCUGAUGUGCGAAAGCGUGGGGAUCAAACAGGAUUAGAUACCCUGGUAGUCCACGCCGUAAACGAUGAGUGCUAAGUGUUAGGGGGUUUCCGCCCCUUAGUGCUGCAGCUAACGCAUUAAGCACUCCGCCUGGGGAGUACGACCGCAAGGUUGAAACUCAAAGGAAUUGACGGGGACCCGCACAAGCGGUGGAGCAUGUGGUUUAAUUCGAAGCAACGCGAAGAACCUUACCAAAUCUUGACAUCCUUUGACAACUCUAGAGAUAGAGCCUUCCCCUUCGGGGGACAAAGUGACAGGUGGUGCAUGGUUGUCGUCAGCUCGUGUCGUGAGAUGUUGGGUUAAGUCCCGCAACGAGCGCAACCCUUAAGCUUAGUUGCCAUCAUUAAGUUGGGCACUCUAAGUUGACUGCCGGUGACAAACCGGAGGAAGGUGGGGAUGACGUCAAAUCAUCAUGCCCCUUAUGAUUUGGGCUACACACGUGCUACAAUGGACAAUACAAAGGGCAGCGAAACCGCGAGGUCAAGCAAAUCCCAUAAAGUUGUUCUCAGUUCGGAUUGUAGUCUGCAACUCGACUACAUGAAGCUGGAAUCGCUAGUAAUCGUAGAUCAGCAUGCUACGGUGAAUACGUUCCCGGGUCU
rnacentral:rRNA from 1 species